AGAGCCGCGCACCAAGCCGAUGGCGGUGGACGCAGCAGGGCCCCGCGGUCUGAGUGCGGGCAGGCGCGCGUGGGCGUGUCUCCCUGGCCCACGCGUGUCCCCGGCAUCAGUGUCUCGGCUCUGGUCCAGGACGAAGACUUCUGAAAGCGAGCCAAGGAGAAUCACAGUUCUUAACGGAGCCCCUGACUGCCCGGUGGAAGGAGGUGAUUUAGAAGACAGUGAGAUUCCUGAAAAACAACAUUGGGCUCCAACUGCAUCUUCAAGAGAGGCCCUGUCUUCUGGCUCUGUGUUACCGUGUUGACCAAGAAGUUGAUCUGGGGCAAAGUGAAGCAUCAGUAGCGCCUUCCAUCCCUUCACCUCACCUGGAUCUCUUCACUUCACUCCACGUCUGUCGUCUCCCAUGCAUGAAGCAACAUGGCCAAGUGAAGCUGCAACCAGUAAAGUCCUCCCAAUAGAACAUUUCUUCCUGAGCCAACCUAUCAGUGCAGCUCUGGAAGCAAAUGACCUCUCCUGGCAGAGCCUUCACUGUGUGGGGAACAUCAGAUUUGUGUAAAGAAGAUCACCUGUCUCUUCUCAGGUGUGCACUGUAGAGAAGCUGCUGCGAAGGCCACAGGUCACUCAGGAAAAUUUGGGGCAGUUUUCUAGGUUCAAGGGAGACUGGACAUCAAAGCUGCACUGGGACAUAUGGACGCCUUGAUCCACUUUGGCCAUUCCACCUCAGCUCAGAAUUACUCACUGGUGUCAGCACAGGAUGUUUCUUGGCUUCAAACCAUUUGGAUAAGUGAUGGCAGCAAGCUUCGCCACUGUAAAGUCACCUCUUUGUAAGAAGACAGGAGCUCUUUGUAAAGAAUAUGAGACCUGAGGCUGGGGGAUGGCUGAGAAGGGAAAAGCACCUCUGCACAAGCGUGAGAAAAGGAGUUUGUUCUUCCACAUCCAUGUAGAAAUCUUGAUGCCGUGCCGUGAACCCCAGCUCUCCUACGGGAAGAUGGGAGGCGUAGACAGGAGUUCAUCUGGAAGCUUGAGGCCAGCCACCCAGAUCCUCAGAGCUGCAGACAAAAGAGAGGCCCUGCAGCAAAAGAGUGGAAGGUGAGAACCAACUCCGGAAAGUUGCCCUCUGACCUUUACAAGUGUAUACAUCCACACACAUACAAUAAAAUCAAUUGCUCAAUCACGUA
rnacentral:lncRNA from 1 species